AAAUUGAUAAAAUAUGAAACACCCUAAUAUACAUAUGUGUAUAAUUAUAUGCAUAUAUGUAUAUAUAAAUACAGUUAAUUGUAGAUAUCUUGACCCUCCGGGAAACCAUGGAAAACGAUUCUACUAAACGAAUGUUUGACUUAAGCGAUGUAUAACUGCCGAAAAGAUGCAGUUACCUGAUGUUCUUAAAUAAAAAUACACAUUGCACUAAAAUAGAAUUUAGACCAUUUGUAGGUUGUACCAUAUUGACUGGAUUGUGGAAAAUGCAUCAAAUCAAAAUGAGUCUGAUAACUGAAAGCGAUAAAAAUACAUAUGAAUUUGAUAUUGGUGAUAAAGAUAACGAUAUCAUGAUUUUAUCAAGAUCGUUUUAAAAAUAACUUUAAUUUUGUAUAAGUUAUUGUUCUAAAAAUGUAUAAAUUA